UGCAAGACACUUUUUCAGAGGGGUGCAUUCUGUUUUACAAGAAGCAGAGACCAGGAAGGAAGGAGACUAGCUUGAUGCUACUGAGAAUGUGGGAGGUGUGUCUCAGCAAGCGUUUUCUUUCUGCAUCAGUGGGAAUAAUGCUCAUCCCUUCUGAAUAGAAUCUUGGUGGAAAAUAACUGAGCAAAUGGCGGGCACGUCAGCACAGAGCAACACAGAAGCAGUUGUGUGAGAGAGGCACCAAUGUCCAUUCGUAUCUGGGCCUGUGUAUCCACAAUACUGAGCAGAGAGAGCAAACAGCCACCUGAAGCCAGCAAACAAAUAUGAAGUACAGUCCAGAUGUGUCAGGUGGCGAGGAAAGGAAAGAACCCGACAGGCAAUGCAUGGAGUUCUGAGAACAGAAGACAACAGAAACAGCUUGCUGCUGGCUUAA